rnacentral:rRNA from 1 species
AGCGAACGUUUGCGGCGGGCUUAACACAUGCAAGUCGAACGGGCUGUUCCUUCGGGGGCAGUCAGUGGCGCACGGGUGCGUAACACGUAGGUAAUCAACCCUCUGGUUGGGGAUAACACUUCGAAAGGAGUGCUAAUACCCGGUAUGGCGCAGCGGUCUUCGGAUCGCGGCGAGAAAGACCCGCAAGGGUUGCCAGAGGACGAGCCUGCGGCCCAUCAGCUAGUUGGCGAGGUAACGGCUCACCAAGGCGAAGACGGGUAGCUGGUCUGAGAGGAUGAUCAGCCACACUGGAACUGAGACACGGUCCAGACUCCUACGGGAGGCAGCAGUGGGGAAGUAUUGCGCAAUGGGCGGAAGACCUGACGCAGCCACGCCGCGUGAGCGAUGAAGG